GGCCUCAUAGGUUUCCUUCUAUGGUCUGGGCAGAUUCUCCCAUCCUCCCGAGACUUGCCAGAUUGUGACACUGGGUGCUUUAUGCUUUUUCUGGAGGGUGUUUUCCAAGUAUGUUGGGAAUGUGGGAGGAAACCACAGCACUGAGAUGGUUUAAGCGGAGGACCUAUUUCCAUACUUUCAAGACCUCUUGAGUAUGAAUCACCCUGCUGGGGGAAUGCCACCUCGGGUUAGUUUAACUGGCAACUUGAUAUGACCUAGAAUCACUGGGGAAGAGAGUCUUAAACAGGUUGGUCUGUGGGCAUGUGUAGGGGAGAUUGUCUUGAUUGUUCAUUAAAGUGGGAAGAUCCAUCUAGAAAGUGAUGGCCCCAUUUCAGGGCUGGACCCUGGACUGUGUAAAAGUAGAGGAAGCUAGCUGAGAAUUAAACAAGCAAGGAAUGAAACAUGCAUGCAUUUGUUUCUCUGUUCUUGACUGAGGAUGUGCAGACUCCUGCCAGCGACGUCCCUGCUAUAAUGGACUGUAACUUGGAUUGUAAGCUAAAAAUAAAUCCGUUCCUCCCCCAUGCUGCUUUUGUGUCAGUACAUAGGUGUCUUGCACAUACUUGGAUCCUCAGAGUUCUUGGGCCCUGUGGCAGUGUUCAAUAGCUGGCUCUAGGGUUUGAUCCAUCUGCCUGCUUUAGGCUCAACACUAUCAAACCCUGGAUUGUUUUCAGUUGAGGGAUCUGUCUGUUUCUGGUCACUGAGGGUAGAGCUCUCAGCCUGAGGUGACCUCUUGGGACUUGGACCUUUACUUUGCCCAUAGUCAUCUCUCCAGCUCUCAACAACUCAUUAACUUCCCUUACCUAGAGGCUGUGGCCAAGCCAAAUUAUGGCUCCCCAACUGGUAAGACUUCUCCCAUCUCAGGCCCCCAGCAUGGCUCGGUUCAAAUAAUAGACCUUACCUCAAGAUGGCACUUGGCUGCUGCCUUCCUACUCAGGUUGCCGUUCCAGGUCCUGCUUCCUCCCUCAGAGAGUCCAGACGCUGUUACACGCUAAAGCUGGAAGUAAGAAGUGAGACCUGGGACAGGAGGGUCUGCAGGAUCCCAGCCCAGUUCUGUCCUGUAGCAAACAUCCAACACAAAACAAGAGCUGCAGUCCAAUCCUGAAGAAUCCGCAAGGCUCACCAACUGACCCGAGGCCACCGAAGAAGCAAGAAGCCACAGGAACCUCACGAGCUGGUCUUUGCUCUACUGAGGAACUCCAGUCAGUCUAAGAGACCAACCCUUCGGAUCACCUGUGACACAGACUGAGGGAACUUCAGUACUCGGAUGGCCACUGGGAAGCAAGUGUGGUAGGAUUCUACCUCUGGAUGAAACAUCUUCAGUUCCCCCGUUUCCCAAAUAGAAGACUCAACCCUUCUUCUGAGCUAUAUAAAGACAAGAAGCUAAGGAACUCCCCCCCCACCACACACACCAAAGCCUAAGGCAUAUUGAAAAUCCCUUGUGAAGUUGUUUCACGUGGUUACUUUUGUCUGCAGUAUUUGGUGAUGUCGCCUGACAAAAGCUAGAGAAUAGAACCAUGAUUGGAUAGAAGAGAGACUCGCAUGAGCAGGUCCAGGUCUCUGAAAAUAUAUGGGCACGGUGACAAGACUGCCUGGAUUGUUGUAUGAUAACCACUGAGAAACAAUGCUCUAUUGUGUUGCCUGAUGCUAGGGCUUGGCCUAUACUAUGGGCAAACAGAAGAUACCCAGAGACUUAAAUGUCUCAUAUUGCCUAUGACAAGGUGAGUGAGUCAUUUUGCCAAUGUUCCUAUUCCACAGAAAAAAAUUUCUUGUCUUCUGGGUCAAAUGGACAGACUGACCUAAAGAAAGCAUGAAAAGGGCUGUUUGUUUAGCCAGCCACACAGGUGGAUAGUCUCCUGUCUGCUAAUCACUUAAUCUCCCCACUGCACCCCACUACCCACCUUGUAGAGUUGUACUGAGCCUGUCCACUCUGACUGUCAUGAACAUUUGCUUCUCCUCCUUUGUACUGAGGACAUCUUAAAGAUGAUCAGAGGCAUCCAGAAUAGCUGUAGGCAGUGUUCCUGGUGCUUCAGCCCCAGCAUUCAGAUUGGUCCUAGCCAAGGAGAUAAGGAACAGGGGGAGGGGAAUAAUGAGUUAGAAACCAUGGGUGGGUGAAUCUUGCAUCUCUGACUGAUUAGCAACCAGGAUGUUUCUUUGUUCAUGCAGAUUCCAUAAAAGUGACAAGCAUAUGAUUUCAAAAGAAAUACAAAUCACGUCAUUUUGUUCCUGGACAAGUGUUACUGUUAGGGUUUGAAAAUCACUGAAGGAAGACCCCAGACCCAAGUAGUAUGCAAGAACAAAGAGGGUUUAUUCUGCAGAAAAAAAACAGCAUCCUAGGGUUACCAUUGCUUCGGGAUGGCGACCCAGAUAAAGAUAUUCAAGCUCCUUUUAUAUAACAGAACUGCUUAAUUGAUUCUGAGAAAACAGACUUCUAAAACCUAGAGUAUAUUCCAAGGAGUAAUCAAAAACAUUAAUUGAAGGUCAUAAAGAAGAAGCUAAACAUAUAUACCACAGGUGCAAGGACAGGAGAUAAAAUAUUGACUGGGUUUAUCUAUACAAAAUGGCAAGAACAACUUAGUUAUGGUUUUUAACUCUCUACGAACCUGUAAACUAGUAACAAAUGAUGAAUGUUUAGCUAGAUAAUUACUCCUAGUGGAUAUGCAUGUAGACAUGCCCUAUUAUAAACCUCUUAUUCAACUUAUGGCCUGAAUGUAUGUGUAAACGCAUAGUGAACUUUUUACCAUGUGAUCAUACGCUCUGAAAGUACAAGUGCUGAGAACAAAGAGCAAAGACAGGUCUCCCUCCCCUUUUCUUCAACUUGGGUUCAACUUAGAGCUAGGCAAUUCCUGCUGAGGAUAGAAAAAAAGCUGUUUUACCUAACCUCUGGCUGUUUUACUGUGAGGUGCUAAACCAGAGACUGCAGCUUCUAGCCUCAGAGACACCCAGACAGGCAAAUUGUCUGUGGAAGCAAAUUACCUUACACUUAGGAUGGUUAGCAAAUGGUUUAUGACCUAGUUUCUGAGUGGAGACAAAAUGAGAUUUUUAAAAAAGGACCCUUCAUUAUAAGUACAGAGAGAAUAGGUAUUAUCAAUUUCAAAUCAUUUUAGACUACAUAAACAUUUAUGACAUAUAACACUGUAUUCUUCAGGAAAGUAAAACAUUAAACGGAUUGAAAAAUAUCUGAGUCAGUCUAGGAGAGUUCCCAAGCCUUGAACCUGCACAGUUGUUGAAGUACAAUUUGUGAGUUAGCCUUAAGUUUCAAAGCUCUCCCAGGCUGCAGACUUGUUCUAUUCAUUCACGUUCUGCUGUUUAGUUAAAAGACCUCACUGUACCUUAAUGUGAUUCAGUCUCCAUAUGAUUGACAAACUCUUAUAUUUCUUUUAUAUACUAUAUUUAUAUCAUAUAUAUCAUCAAAGUUUGCUUUAGGCAAACUAUCUUUGUUAUUAAGGUUUUAUUUUCUGGGAACAAUGUCCAGUAGAAUACAUUUAGGAGGAAGCCUGUAAACUGAUCAGUUGCCAAAUCUAUUAUUUCUGAGUUUGCUUAAGGGCAGGUGUGCCAAAGGAACUCUGGGCCUGUCCAACUUUUUGUGCUUUUCACAAUCUCUAUGGCAGGCAAGGAAGAGUCCCAAGUAGGGCCAGAUAAUAAGUUAACUCCUUUGAGAGUAGAAGAAAUUCUCUGGGGGAAAGACAUAAACGAGUCAUAAUGUAAAAAGUCCCCCAUACAUGCAACACAUAGAGAUUAGAAACCCAAGACAAAAGACAGCACAAUGGCAAAGACAGCAUCCGGCUCAACUUUGCUGGACCGUGUGUGCAUCAGACUGCUGUGCUGGCUUCAUGGCUCUCUGGCUGUGUGCCAUCUGAAGCUAUUGGUUUACUAGAGGCAAACUGAUACUUCUGGAACUCUCUUAGGGCAUCUGAAACAGUGGUGACUAAAACAAAGACACCUACAUAAUGACACUCAGAGUUUAAGCAGGAGUUUCCACAGUGGCCAUGACAGCCGUGGCCAUUUUGGCAAGUUGACUGAAGUCUCCUCCAGUUUAGGCAGAGAAACUCAACUCAAAGGAAGAAAGGUUUAUUUUGGCUCAUGGUCUCUGAAAUCAGCCAGGGCACUUUCACCCACAUGGUGAGGCCUUAUCAUGGCAGAAGCAUGUGGAGAAAAGCUGCUCUGCUUGCUAGUGGCAAACAAAAAGUAGGUCUCUCUUCUAUGUUUCUACCACAGAAAUCCUAUCCAAUUCCCAAACCCAUUAAAGUAUGACUUCAUAUAAUCCAUGAGGGAUCAAUCCUUUGAUGCAUAAGCUUUCUGAGGAUGUAUGGCAUGGUGGCAUACUCCUUUAAUCUCAGCAUUCAGGAGGCAAGGGCACACAGACUUCUGAGUUUCAGGCCAGACAAGGCCACAUAGUGAGACUGUAUCUCAAAACAAAAACAAAACCCAAUAUCAAAUGGGCAAGGCAUAAAAACAAUACCGAGUUUAGAAUAAUCUUCAAAACCGUUCCUAAACAGGUUUGAUUUAUGGUAUUCUAAUACUCCAUUGAAUGGGAUAACUAUUUAAAUGGUGACUUUUUCUAGAGAAGGCUCAUUAUGAGUUGAUUCGCAAAAUAGCCACCAUUUUAGGGUUCCAGAUCCACACUUCCAGCAUGAAGUGGAGUUACUCCGUGGAAGUCUCCCCAUUCUCACCUCCCCACCCCUUCCCACCACACUCCCAGCUUCCAUUUUACCAGCUUCCUAGUCUUUGCUGUUAUUCCUCUCAACCAAUAAUUCUGACUUUCCAGAAAAAUAAAAUAAAACUCAACACCAGUCACUUGUUAAAGAGCAUAUUUAUUAUUUCUCUGGUAUAGACAAAGCAUCCAUUGUACAUUUGUCAGUUCAUGACUUUGUCAUCACGUCUACCUAGAAUAAUUGUCACCAAACACAGUGUGAGCAACUGGGAGGGGGGAGGAGGGCUGAGGAAUGUGCCCUGAGGUCUUUCAGAAUAAAUAGCUACAAACACAAAUGUGACAAUAAAAUAAAUUAAAAAAUUAAAUAGUAUUAAAUCAAUAGGAUUAAAUUAAAUAAAAAUUC